AAUAAACCGAGUUUAUGUUCAACCAUUAGAUGAGGAUCUCCCAUUACUUCACUUUGUGCUGGAUCUGAAAAAGAGGAACAUUGCAGAAAAAAUUCUUGCCUUUUCAACCAGGAGAAGAGAUGGAGAUUGAAACAUUGCAAAUUAGUUUGCUGCUAAUCUAGAGACUAUGGCUGAAAAAUGAAGUUGACAAGUUAUUAGAUUGUUAGUAGAUUCUCAAGGUCUCUUUUCAGAACUAAGCCCUGCUAACUUCAGUAGGGCUGGCACAGGACUGCUGUCUUUAUAUAGUACACUACACUGAAAACUUUAAAAUUAUAAUUUAAAAACAAAAUAUAAUUGAUAUUAAUAUUAAUCAUAUUUAAUAUAGUCACUUAUACUUCCAAUGGAAGGUACUUUCUUAUGAGUUAUUUUCUCUGUAAGAUGCUGACUGCUACAGCACAUACACGUGUCACUUAAAACAAUAUUUUCCUUUCAAACUAUUCAGUAAGCGGAUGUAGGCUUAUUUAUUAUUUCUAUAUCCUGCCUUUUUUCCUGCAAGGAAUUCAAGGUGGCUUACAUAAUCCUCCUCUCCACUUUAUCAGAUUAACUGAUGCAGUUAACUAGGAUGAAAUCUUGUGCAUACUAACUUGAGAGUAAGCCUCACUGAACAUAACAGGAUGUAUUUCCAGGUAAACAUAUGUAGGAACAUACUUGUAAGAGUCAAUUCCGUCCUGCUCGUGACAUUCUCGUGGAGGAAAUUACAGAAUUUCUUCUUCCUCCACCCCCUAAGUGCAAUGUGUACUACUCCUCUGUUUACACAGACAUGACGCUCCAGUAAUUUUAAGCAUGGAUCAUUUAAAAGCUAACUUUUACUAAAUAAAAUUUUGCACGGGUCAUUAAAA